rnacentral:misc_RNA from 1 species
GAUGAAGAACGUAGCGAAAUGCGAUAAGUAAUGUGAAUUGCAGAAUUCAGUGAAUCAUCGAAUCUUUGAACGCACAUUGCGCCCGUCAGUAUUCUGGCGAGCAUGCCUGUUCGAGCGUCAUUACGCCCCUCAAGUCCCCUGUGGACUUGGUGUUGGGGAUCGGCGAGGCUGGUUUUCCAGCACAGCCGUCCCUUAAAUUAAUUGGCGGUCUCGCCGUGGCCCUCCUCUGCGCAGUAGUAAAACACUCGCAACAGGAGCCCGGCGCGGUCCACUGCCGUAAAACCCCCCAACUUUUUAUAGUUGACCUCGAAUCAGGUAGGACUACCCGCUGAACUUAAGCAUAUCAAUAAGCGGAGGA